rnacentral:rRNA from 1 species
AUUGAACGCUGGCGGCAGGCCUAACACAUGCAAGUCGAACGAGUGGCGGACGUGUGAGCAAUGUCUGGGACACUGCCCGAUGGAUGGGGUUCACUACUGGAAACGGUUGCUAAUACCGCAUACCAGCGGAUGUGCCCAGAUGGGAUUAGCUAGUAGGUGGGGUAACGGCGCACCAAGGCGACGAUCCCUUGCUGGUCUGAGAGGAUGACCAGCCACACGGGAACUGAGACACGGUCCAGACUCCUACGGGAGGCAGCAGUGGGGAAUAUUGCACAAUGGGCGCAAGCCUGAUGCAGCCAUGCCGCGUGUAUGAAGAAGGCCUUCGGGUUGUAAAGUACUUUAAGCGAGGAGGCGUUACUAGCAGAAGAAGCACCGGCUAACUCCGUGCCAGCAGCCGCGGUAAUUC